CUGGAAGCGGUCACCAUUAACAGUGUCCCUGAUAGUAAACAAAGCUCAUCACCCACCAAAGGAACUGCUCCCAUCCUAGGGAUCUUCGGAUGACACACGCAGGCCGCCUCUUCUUUUGUCAGAGUAUUUGCAAUGUCUAGAAUCACCAUAUCAUCCCAGAACAAAUGGGCGUCAAAUCUGGAGUCAACAGCGAGGCGGUAGAGCAAAACAAGACAUGACACGAGUAAGAGAGGUGGGGGGUUCAGAACUGUGGAAGCCUUUAUGUGGUAUGUUUCAGUGCGCUGGGAGCUGGACACCUAAACAAGAAAACAUACAGGAAUGUUGAUAAAACAAUGGCCUCUAUUGGACUUGGCACAAUUUAUCCUUGUUUCUUUCAUUUUGCAAUCAAA
rnacentral:lncRNA from 1 species